rnacentral:tRNA from 1 species
GUGGUUGUGGCUCAGCGGUAGAGCACUCACCUAGCAUGUGCAAGGCCCUGGGUUCAAUCCUCAGCACCACA